AUCAACCACUCACUUAUCGAUCUCCCCGCCCCAUCCAACAUCUCCAUAUGAUGGAACUUCAGCUUGCUUCUUGGUGCCUGCUUAACCCUUCAAAUUAUUACAGGACUAUUCCUAGCUAUACGCUACUCACCAGACGCCUCAACCGCCUUCUCCUCAGUCGUCCACAUCACUCGAGAUGUAAACUAUGGCUGAAUCAUCCGCUACCUCCAUGCCAAUGGCGCCUCAAUAUUUUUCAUCUGCCUCUUCCUACAUAUUGGCCGAGGCCUGUACUAUGGCUUAUUUCUCUACCUAGAAACCUGAAACAUUGGCAUCAUUCUCCUACUCACAACCAUAGCAACAGCCUUCAUAGGCUAGGUACUCCCAUGAGGCCAGAUAUCCUUGAGGGGCCACGGUAAUCACAAAUCUACUGUCCGCCAUUCCUUAUGUCGGAACAGACCUGGUGCAGUGGGUUUGAGGUGGUUAUUCAGUAGACACACCCACUCUCACACGAUUCUUCACCUUCCACUUUAUCCUACCUUUCAUUAUUACAGCCCUAGUAGUCUUACACCUACUAUUUCUCCAUGAGACAGCAUCAAAUAACCCCUCAGGAAUCUCCUCCCACUCCAACAAAAUUACCUUCCACCCCUACUACAUGACCAAAGAUAUCCUAGGCCUAUUUCUCCUCCUUCUCACCCUAAUAACACUAGUACUGUUUUCACCCGACCUCCUAACUGAUCCAGAUAACUACACCCUAGCCAACCGCCUGAAUACUCCACCCCAUAUUAAACCCGAAUGGUAUUUUCUAUCUGCCUACGCAAUCUUAUGAUCCAUCCCCAACAAACUAGGAGGCGUACUGGCCCUCCUACUAUCAAUCCUCAUCCUAGCAGCAAUUCCCACACUUCACAUGUCCAAACAACAAAGCAUAAUAUUCUGUCCACUAAACCAAUUCCUAUAUUGACUCCUAAUUACAGAUCUCCUUAUCCUCACAUGGGUUGGAGGACAACCAGCAAGCUACCCCUUCAUCACCUUCGGACAAACAGCAUUCGUAGUUUACUUUGCUACAAUUCUAGCCCUGAUACCGCUUGCCUCCCUACUCGAAAACAAAAUACUCAAA
rnacentral:lncRNA from 1 species